rnacentral:misc_RNA from 1 species
UGGUGGUCAAGCUAGGAAGUCAGGUGAUUCGAAGCUCUAUGAUCUUUUUUUAUUCGAAGCUUUAUGAUCCUUUUUUAUUCAAAGCUCUGAGUUUAUGGAUGAUCUAUCUUAUAUUUCUUCUUUGAUUCUAAGCCCAGUUGCUCUAUGAUCUUCUCCAUUUUUGUGUAUAUUAAAUUCCUACUAAGCACAUAAAUAGAGACAUAUUGUUGUUGAGUGAAUCCACUCCCCUCUCUCCCCCAACCGCGCCCCCGCG